rnacentral:lncRNA from 1 species
GGCGUCCGUGGGGUUCUUCAAAACCCGAUUACAGAAAUGUUAUAGAGAGACUUCAAGAGGUAAAUACUAUUUUAUGAAAUAACAUACUGCUUUUUGUUAUUUUUUCAAAAAGAGAAUAAUCAUAACUGUGUACUAUGACAAAUACUUUUAUUAAUGAUGUCAAUGCCUUUUUUUUUUACAAUUCAUCAUAAUUUCAACAUUUG